GAGACAUUGUCUUAUUAAAAGACACUCAGGCCCACAGGAACGAAUGGCCUAUUGGACUCAUUGUGGGGACUGAUCCUAGUGGUGAUGCUAGAGUUAGAAAAGUUGAAGUUAGAAUUGUUAGACAGGGCAUUCCCAAGGUGUAUGCUAGGCCAAUUUCUGAAGUAGUUUUACUUCUGUCCAAAGGUUAGUGGCAUAACCAAUGGUACGCCAGGUGGGGAGUGUGCUGCCUUUGCAAUGUAUAUUACAUGCUUGGCACUCAGUAGUGUCUGUUUCUUUAAGACCCUCCAUUUUCUUGAAGCCUAGAGGCGGGUCUUCUCUGUACUCUCUAGGGCUUGCUGGGACAUAUCCUGUUCAGUCCAGCUCUGGGUACUAUAGUGACCAGAUCCACAGGACAUCUUAAAGCUAUUACAGAUUGCAAACCUGACGAACACCAAAGCCUUUUUACCUCACAUAUCAUCCCAUAUCAUAUCAUAUGAACAUUAUUGUACACAUUCCUGUUCAUUAUAUCUCAGUAAAGAUUGCAUCAGUUCAGCAAA